UAACAGGAAACAGCUUGCUGUUUCGCUGACGAGUGGCGGACGGGUGAGUAAUGUCUGGGAAACUGCCUGAUGGAGGGGGAUAACUACUGGAAACGGUAGCUAAUACCGCAUAACGUCGCAAGACCAAAGAGGGGGACCUUCGGGCCUCUUGCCAUCGGAUGUGCCCAGAUGGGAUUAGCUAGUAGGUGGGGUAACGGCUCACCUAGGCGACGAUCCCUAGCUGGUCUGAGAGGAUGACCAGCCACACUGGAACUGAGACACGGUCCAGACUCCUACGGGAGGCAGCAGUGGGGAAUAUUGCACAAUGGGCGCAAGCCUGAUGCAGCCAUGCCGCGUGUAUGAAGAAGGCCUUCGGGUUGUAAAGUACUUUCAGCGGGGAGGAAGGGAGUAAAGUUAAUACCUUUGCUCAUUGACGUUACCCGCAGAAGAAGCACCGGCUAACUCCGUGCCAGCAGCCGCGGUAAUACGGAGGGUGCAAGCGUUAAUCGGAAUUACUGGGCGUAAAGCGCACGCAGGCGGUUUGUUAAGUCAGAUGUGAAAUCCCCGGGCUCAACCUGGGAACUGCAUCUGAUACUGGCAAGCUUGAGUCUCGUAGAGGGGGGUAGAAUUCCAGGUGUAGCGGUGAAAUGCGUAGAGAUCUGGAGGAAUACCGGUGGCGAAGGC
rnacentral:rRNA from 1 species